UUCUACUGUUCAGCAACGUGACCCAGUCACACACACAUGUAUGUACAUUCUCUUUCUCGCAUCAUCCUUCAUCAUUUCCAUCAUAGGCUGGUGGCCAGAGGUCUGAAACGAGAUAUCUGCAGGGUUGGUUCCUCCUGAGGACUGUAAGGGAGAUGCUGACAAUCUUUUGGACACAGGGCAGUGGGCAUCUCAGAGGAUGCACUUUCCCGUGCGAUCCAGAGCAGGCCGGCACAAGGGGUGAUCACUGGCCUUUCCUGGAGACCUGGUUUCAGUGGAUGCCACAAAGUAUUCACACUAAGCACGAGACCUCAAAACCAUACUUGAAUGCUUCUCUUCUCAUGUAAGAGUCUGAGUGGCUUAAUGAACCUUACUGGGCCCUCUCAAGCCUGCCUGCCUUCAGUCUGGCAACUAACACAAUAAAAACGCUUUUGGACACUUUCACAGCCCUGUCUGUAUGCUGGGCUGCUGUGUUGGCAUCAAUUGUAAGUGAAUAGAAUACAAUAGGGGAAAAAAAAGCAAAGAUGCUGAGUUGAGAAUUAGAAGACUGGUCAGAAGCCUUGAGCAUGUUAUUUCUCUGCGCUCUGCGUUGCCAUUUGUAAGAUGGAACGAGAGGGGCAUGUCGCUCUCCUGCCAUCCACAGGACACCUGUCCUGAUCCAUGUGUCCCUCUGGGGAUGAAGCUAGGAAGGCAGGAGGGGCACUGAGCCCCACAGCCCUUCCCUGAUGCCCUCAGCGUGGAUGGCUGGGCUGGGUGUGUCACCUGUGGUCACAGGACAGCGGUGGUUAUGUUCUUUCAGGUCACAGACUGAGUCUGGAAUUGUCCUCGGGACACAGUCCCCAAGCUCUCUGGUUCCCAAAUUAAUUAUUGAGAUUGAGGGAUUGAUUCUUCUUUUCCAAAAAUGCCUGUCUCCAAAUGCCCAGGCGUGAGAGGGCCACCUUUCGUGUCUCCAGCUCCCUGGAGAGCAGGAGGGAUCCAGCACCAUCCACACCUUAUCAACACGGGAUCUGAGCUGUGUCUGCGACCUACACCACAGCUCACGGCAA